rnacentral:rRNA from 1 species
AGUGAACGCUGGCGGUAGGCCUAACACAUGCAAGUCGAACGGCAGCACAGUAAGAGCUUGCUCUUACGGGUGGCGAGUGGCGGACGGGUGAGGAAUACAUCGGAAUCUACUUUUUCGUGGGGGAUAACGUAGGGAAACUUACGCUAAUACCGCAUACGACCUACGGGUGAAAGCAGGGGAUCUUCGGACCUUGCGCGAUUGAAUGAGCCGAUGUCGGAUUAGCUAGUUGGCGGGGUAAAGGCCCACCAAGGCGACGAUCCGUAGCUGGUCUGAGAGGAUGAUCAGCCACACUGGAACUGAGACACGGUCCAGAAUCCUACGGGAGGCAGCAGUGGGGAAUAUUGGACAAUGGGCGCAAGCCUGAUCCAGCCAUACCGCGUGGGUGAAGAAGGCCUUCGGGUUGUAAAGCCCUUUUGUUGGGAAAGAAAAGCAGCAGGUUAAUACCCCGCUGUUCUGACGGUACCCAAGGAAUAAGCACCGGCUAACUUCGUG